rnacentral:rRNA from 1 species
UACGUAGGGGGCAAGCGUUGUCCGGAAUCAUUGGGCGUAAAGCGCGCGUAGGCGGCCCGGUAAGUCCGUUGUGAAAGUCGAAGCUCAACCUUUGAACGCCGAUGGAUACUGCCGGGCUAGAGUCCGGAAGAGGCGAGUGGAAUUCCUGGUGUAGCGGUGGAAUGCGCAGAUAUCAGGAGGAACACCAAUAGCGAAGGCAGCUCGCUGGGACGUUACUGACACUGAGGCGCGAAAGCGUGGGGAGCGAACAGG